rnacentral:rRNA from 1 species
AGUGAACGCUGGCGGUAGGCCUAACACAUGCAAGUCGAACGGCAGCACAGUAAGAGCUUGCUCUUACGGGUGGCGAGUGGCGGACGGGUGAGGAAUACAUCGGAAUCUACUUUUUCGUGGGGGAUAACGUAGGGAAACUUACGCUAAUACCGCAUACGACCUACGGUUGAAAGCAGGGGAUCUUCGGACCUUGCGCGAUUGAAUGCGCCGAUGUCGGAUUAGCUAGUUGGCGGGGUAAAGGCCCACCAAGGCGACGAUCCGUAGCUGGUCUGAGAGGAUGAUCAGCCACACUGGAACUGAGACACGGUCCAGACUCCUACGGGAGGCAGCAGUGGGGAAUAUUGGACAAUGGGCGCAAGCCUGAUCCAGCCAUACCGCGUGGGUGAAGAAGGCCUUCGGGUUGUAAAGCCCUUUUGUUGGGAAAGAAAAGCAGCAGGUUAAUACCCCGCUGUUCUGACGGUACCCAAAGAAUAAGCACCGGCUAACUUCGUG